GCUUACGGCCACACCGCCUGGUUCACGCCUGAUCUCGGAAGCUAAGAUAGGUUGGGCCUGGUUAGUACUUGGAUGGGGAGACCGCCUGGGAAUACCAGGUGCUGCAAGCU
ensembl:rRNA 5S_rRNA 5S ribosomal RNA